GACGAACGCUGGCGGCGUGCUUAACACAUGCAAGUCGAGCGAUGAAGUUUUUUCGGAAAUGGAUUAGCGGCGAACGGGUGAGGAACACGUGAAGAAUCUGCCCUCCACUUUGGGAUAACACAGGGAAACCUGUGCUAAUACCGAAUAUUGAAACAUAAGUGGCAUCACUGAGUUUUGAAAGAAUUUCGGUGGAGGAUGACUUCGCGGCCUAUCAGCUAGUUGGUGAGGUAAUGGCUCACCAAGGCAACGACGGGUAGCCGGCCUGAGAGGGCGACCGGCCACACUGGGACUGGGACACGGCCCAGACUCCUACGGGAGGCAGCAGUGGGGAAUAUUGGGCAAUGGAGGAAACUCUGACCCAGCGACGCCGCGUGCGGGAUGAAGGCCUUCGGGUUGUAAACCGCUUUCAGUAGGAAAGAAGCGGAAGUGACGGUACCUACAAAAGAAGCACCGGCUAACUAUGUGCCAGCCGCCGCGGUAA
rnacentral:rRNA from 1 species